rnacentral:rRNA from 1 species
AGUGAACGCUGGCGGUAGGCCUAACACAUGCAAGUCGAACGGCAGCACAGUAAGAGCUUGCUCUUACGGGUGGCGAGUGGCGGACGGGUGAGGAAUACAUCGGAAUCUACUUUUUCGUGGGGGAUAACGUAGUGAAACUUACGCUAAUACCGCAUACGACCUACGGGUGAAAGCAGGGGAUCUUCGGACCUUGCGCGAUUGAAUGAGCCGAUGUCGGAUUAGCUAGUUGGCGGGGUAAAGGCCCACCAAGGCGACGAUCCGUAGCUGGUCUGAGAGGAUGAUCAGCCACACUGGAACUGGGACACGGUCCAGACUCCUACGGGAGGCAGCAGUGGGGAAUAUUGGACAAUGGGCGCAAGCCUGAUCCAGCCAUACCGCGUGGGUGAAGAAGGCCUUCGGGUUGUAAAGCCCUUUUGUUGGGAAAGAAAAGCAGCAGGUUAAUACCCCGCUGUUCUGACGGUACCCAAAGAAUAAGCACCGGCUAACUUCGUG